CCUACGGGUGGCUGCAGUGGGGAAUUUUGGACAAUGGGGGCAACCCUGAUCCAGCCAUUCCGCGUGAGUGAAGAAGGCCUUCGGGUUGUAAAGCUCUUUUGUCCGGAGCGAAACGGGCGGCCCUAAUACGGUCGUCUACUGACGGUACCGGAAGAAUACGCACCGGCUAACUACGUGCCAGCAGCCGCGGUAAUACGUAGGGUAUUAGCGUUCAUCGGAAGUACUGGGCGUAAAGCGUAAGCCAGAGGUUAAAUCCCCGGGCUCAACCUGGGAAUGGCAUUUGAGACUGCAAGGCUGGAGUGUGGCAGAGGGGACUAGAAUUCCUGGUGUAGCAGUGAAAUGCGUAGAUAUCAGGAGGAAUACCGAUGGCGAAGGCAGGUCCCUGGGUUAACACUGACGCUCAUGCACGAAAGCGUGGGGAGCAAACAGGAUUAGAUACCCGAGUAGUC
rnacentral:rRNA from 1 species